rnacentral:rRNA from 1 species
AUUGAACGCUGGCGGCAUGCUUUACACAUGCAAGUCGAACGGCAGCACGGGCUUCGGCCUGGUGGCGAGUGGCGAACGGGUGAGUAAUACAUCGGAACGUACCCAGUAGUGGGGGCUAGCCGGGCGAAAGCCGGAUUAAUACCGCAUAUGCCCUGAGGGGGAAAGCGGGGGACCGAAAGGCCUCGCGCUAGUGGAGCGGCCGAUGGCUGAUUAGCUAGGUGGUGGGGUAAAGGCCUCACAAGGCGACGAUCAGUAGCUGGUCUGAGAGGACGACCAGCCACACUGGGACUGAGACACGGCCCAGACUCCUACGGGAGGCAGCAGUGGGGAAUUUUGGACAAUGGGCGAAAGCCUGAUCCAGCAAUGCCGCGUGUGCGAAGAAGGCCUUCGGGUUGUAAAGCACUUUUGUUUGGAAAGAAAAGGUUUGGGUUAAUACCCUGGACUGAUGACGGUACCAAUCGAAUAAGCACCGGCUAACUACGUGCCAGCCGCCGCGGUAA